CAAUAGCGUAUAUUAUUGAUGUUGCAGUUGAAACGUUCGUAGUCGAAUGUUAUCUGCUUCUUCUCCACAACAUUGUUGAUGUUGCCGAGAUCGCAGCAGAGAAGAUGCAAAUGAGUGCACGUGUUUCAUGUGUACCGCCUUUGCAUAUUACUUUGAGUGAAUCGGCGUGUUCCACGCAGGCAUGUGCCUUGAACGAUUUACCAUAGCAUAACCAGAGUAUGGAAGUGCUUUCUUGUUUGUUCGAAAGCAUUUUCGACACUGCCAAGAACGGUCGAGGGCAUUCGUAUUCAACUGCUAGAGGUGAAAUUCUUUGAUUAGUUGAGGACGAACCAUUGCGAAAGCAUCUGCCAAGGACGUUUCUUUUGA
rnacentral:rRNA from 1 species